rnacentral:rRNA from 1 species
CCUACGGGUGGCUGCAGUGGGGAAUUUUGCGCAAUGGGCGAAAGCCUGACGCAGCAACGCCGCGUGAGUGAUGAAGGCUUUCGGGUCGUAAAGCUCUGUCAAUGGGAAAGAAGUGUAUUGUAGCUAAUAUCUGCGAUACUUGACGGUACCCAUAAAGGAAGCACCGGCUAACUCCGUGCCAGCAGCCGCGGUAAUACGGGGGGUGCAAGCGUUGGUCGGAAUUGUUGGGGGGGAUGCGCGUGUCGGCUGUGAAAGCCCUGGGCUCAACCCAGGAAGUGCAUUGGAAACUGGCAGACUUGAAUACGGGAGAGGGUAGUGGAAUUCCUGGUGUAGGAGUGAAAUCCGUAGAUAUCAGGAGGAACACCGGUGGCGAAGGCGGCUGCCUGGACCGAUAUUGACGCUGAGACGCGAAAGCGUGGGUAGCAAACAGGAUUAGAUACCCGAGUAGUC